rnacentral:tRNA from 1 species
UAACCAGAAGCUAAAGUAAUUGAAGCAUCUAGCUGUUAAUUAGAAGGUUGUAGAAUUAAAAUCCUACCUGGUUAG